UAAACAUUAAAAUUAGAGUUGUUCGAAAUGUUGUGAGUAAUAUCGUAAAAGACAUUACACAUUUUGCUUAUUUAAAUUGAUAGCUCUGGCAACCCUAAAUAAGUAUUUUGACAGCGAUUUCUUUUUUUGAGUGCUGUUGCAUACAAAGAGUAUCACUAAAUUGCAAUGAAUGUGCCGGUCAUUAUUUGAACAAUUUUGUAUAAAUUUUAGUGAUAAUAAUUUAUUGAUGUGAAAUUAAAUUUUAAUUUUCAUUAUAAUGAAUUUAAUGAAAAUUGUCUUGACGCAAUUAAUCAAAUACAAAAAAUGACUUGACAAAUGCUGUAACGGGACUUCUGUCGAUUAGGACACAAAGUUUGCAUAAAAUGUUCAGCUAUAAAAUAAUUUGGACAAAUAGAAACAAAACAGUGUCUCACUAAACUACGCUACUUCAAGUUUGGAAAUUAGAAAACAGAAUUAAAAACGUGUUUUUGUAUGAUUCUUAAAAUAUUUGACAUUAGUGUUUCACAUUAAAAAUAUAUUUAUUAUUGCCAAUAAAUAAUGACUCCGUUGGACCUCAAAUGCAUAAGUAUAAAGCACGCAAUAAAAAUGGGGACAAUAAUCAAAAUAGUUUGUCUUAAGUCAAAGGCAUUGAAAUUUCAAUGAUGGAAUGCGAUUUUGAAUUUUAUUAAUGUUUCCUUCCAAUUGUUGCAGUCACCGUUUCAGCACUGAAGAAUAAAAAUUUGAUUAUAAAGAAAAUGAAUUAAAAAUAACUUCUCUGCAGUUACAAUAACCCAGGAAUUCCCCAAAAACACAAAUAAAGUAUUUGUGGAAAGAGUAUGGCAAUUUUCGAUGUCAGGACAUUUGAUCAAAAAACAAAUACUGAAUUUAGUACUACCAAUUUAUUUCUCCAUAAGUCUCAUCUGCCGUAAUAUUUAAACAUCCCAGUCUUAAAGAAUGUUUAUAUGUAUUCCUGUUUAAAAAAUAUUGUUAUCUACUCACCAAGCAAGAGAUAACACACAUUAGUUUAUUGGAAUAAUUAUUAAACUCAGCAUAAAAAAAUGAUUGAAUGCAACAACAACAUGAUCUUCAAAAAACAAAAACUUAAGCAAGUCAUCAAAGCUAAGUGCAAGUUUUA